GUGUACGUGCUUUAAAAUGACGAGUUUGCAAUGCAUCAAUUGCAACGUUCGCUUGUCGCGAAUACGAAGGCACGCUUUAUCCGAUGAGAGUGAAGAUAUCGUCAAUACUAUUCGGCUGUGGACAUAUCCUAGAGAUAUGUCAUCCAUGAAUGAAGUCUGUGGAGUUUGCUGGGGCCAAGCUCGAGAUUUGAGCUUCAAUGUUCCAGAAGGACCAGAAGAAAGACCCCAACAUAUUGUGUUGCCCAAUAUAAGAAGAGCGGCUGAAACAGCAAGACAUUGCAUUUUCCAAGGGUGCAUGGAACUGCCAAAUAAUACUAAGAAUAGAUUAAAUAAUUAUAAGAACAAUAAAAUAGACGUAUAUUCCUACAAAAACAAA